rnacentral:lncRNA from 1 species
CAAAGCUACAUGGAGCCUUUAUACCCAAAGGGAGACUCCAAAGUGACACUUUUAAAACCUGUCCAAAAAUUAUCUGGCACACCUUGCAUGGGGCUCUCUGCAACCCCAGCUGGCAGGCUCUGAAAUCUGGCUAUAAAACCCUUGUGAUGCACACCUUCCCAUAGGCUUACCUAAUAAAAUCCUAAGUAAAAAGGACAACUUAGAGGAUAAUACAUACAGCAAGGUCAAUGUUUUUGCUUUUUAAAGCUACAU